rnacentral:rRNA from 1 species
AUACGGAGGAUGCAAGCGUUAUCCGGAUUUAUUGGGUUUAAAGGGUGCGUAGGCGGAUGAUUAAGCGUGAGGUGAAAUGCCACUGCUCAACAGUGGAACUGCCUCGCGAACUGGUUGUCUUGAAUGCUCCUGCCGUGGGAGGAAUGUGUGGUGUAGCGGUGAAAUGUAUAGAGAUCAUACAGAACACCGAUUGCGAAGGCAUCUCACGAAGGGGUGAUUGACGCUGAGGCACGAAAGCGUGGGGAUCAAACAGGAUUAGAUACCCUGGUAGUCCACGCAGUAAACGAUGAUAACUAACCGCUGGGUCGUAGUGAUUCAGUGGCCAAGCGAAAGCGAUAAGUUAUCCACCUGGGGAGUACGACCGCAAGGUUGAAACUCAAAUGAAUUGACGGGG